GCGUUGUGUGGCCGGAACAACUUUUCUGUCAGUGUAUCAUAGUUUUUAAUUUGCAAACGGCCCUUAUUUACUCAAGCAGACGACAAGAACUAUUUAACUACCUGCAUGUGAAGGAUCUUUUUAAUGAAUCAAGAGCUCUGCUGGAUAUAAAGAAGAACAUCCCGUGUUAAUAGAAACGCGUCGCAACUGGAAAAAUGAAGAGGGGUAGUAGUUUUUGUAUUGUUCUGAUAGCAUUUGUUUUAACAACACUUGUGGUCCUUCGACCCUGCCAAGGACUAACGGCCGGUGGAAAUAACUGGUCUAGAAGAUCAAAACCUGAGGCAAAGCGAGCAUUGGAGAGUAUGUGUAGAGCAGCAAGAGAGCAUUGCAAGCGUGAGGUCCUUUCUGACGACUUCGACCUGCCUCGACUCCGCCCCGGUCAAUAAAAUUCAAAGUUUCAGUUAUUCGAGGAGAAGAGAGAUUAUCCACGAUAGAGAAAGAGGACUUCUAUUGUCAUAGCAGAAUAACUGAAUCUAGAGACAUUUGAUAACACCAUUGACUUGUAUUUAACCGACCUAAUUAACUAUGAAAUAAAUUGCGACGUUUGAUUCA